ensembl:processed_transcript Gm11476 predicted gene 11476
CUUAUGCAUGGAGUCAUAAAGUAGGUCACACACGUUGCAUGCUCUGCUCUGCAUCUGGCCUUUCUCAUAGGCUGUGCUUUCAAGGUUCAGCCAGGUGGUUCGCUGCAAGGAUAGCAGAGGUAGCCUGGACUACAGAGCAACACCCUUUCUCGUGCCUGGAGGACCAGAAAUUCAAGGUCAUCAUUGACUGCACCGCGAUUUGGAUGCCUUUUUGAGGGCACUCUCCGGACACCUCUAAAGCCACACUGUGUGCACCUGCCUCCUUGUCCCCCAGCCCACUACCAUCUCAGCUCACAGCUCUUGUUCACUGCACAGGCUCUGACACACAGUGAGCACACAUAAGAUGCUUGCUGGCAGCAGCUGUGAUGACAGGGACAGGUGGAUGGUGUCCUCAUCAGCCACUUGGGAACACAAAUGCCAGCACCCAGGCUCCUGGGGCCAUAGAGUGUUCUUCAAAGAGCUCCUAGAACUGUGGCUCCCUAAAAGCCAAAGGGUACACACUAAACAUCGUGGGAGGACCAGGUACCCCACAGAGACUACAGACUUGGCCACUGUUGCCCAUGCACCGGUAGGCUAACGGACUUGUGGUUUCUGGGAGAUGUCAUGUAAAAUUUACUUCCACGGAAAAUGUUGGUGUUGAAUGAGACCUUCACACCUGUGUGUGCACGGUGGCCUCUCAGUGACUGGCUCUAGGAUCUCCAUCUCCCAAGCCAUUGCAGCUGUUGGACAUCAACGGACCCAUGUGGACCCCACAGUGCAAAAGCCAGGUCCUGUGGGCUCAUGCUGGGGCCACAUGAGGUCACACCCUCAAAAGAGGAUGUACUGUCUGCAAGCUCUGCUGAGUGGAGACCCCAGCCUGGAGCCCUAAGUGACCUGGCAGUGAACUAACAAGCCCAGGCCAGAAGAGACCUGUUGGCAGGCACCAAGCACCUGGGGUCUAGCAGGGCCUUCUGGAGGUCAGCCUGUUGGGGCCAUGUGCCAGAGGGAAUGUCUGCCGCAGCUGUAGGCUGGCCUGUGUAUCUACAGGAUGAAGUUCAGCUCCUGAGUCAAGACAUUCAGACCUGCUCUCACCCCUUGUACGGUAGACAGCUGCCACUCUAUCAGAUCGAAAUUCUUGUUUGCAACAUCACAGCUAUGACACAUUCGUCUAACUUUAGGACAGAGUCCAAUCAGUGCAGGCUCUCCCCAAGGAGCCAGCAGCUGGAGUUCCCCAAGGCAACUUAAGCAAGGGGAAACCAAUUUUCAUUUUUACCCAAGUACCUACGCCACACCCACUUUGCUGUGAUCUGCUAGAUUUAACUAGUCAUUCAUGGGACGUGUGAGGCUCAAAGAGGACAUACUUCCCUGGAGUCCUGAACUCAUCCUCCUGCAUCGCCCCUAAGGAGGGCUACAGGUGUGUACAACCACAAGCAGCCACUUUGCUUUUCCCAGGGUCUCUAGGUCAAAUUCCCCAUCUGAAGAGCCUUUAACAGCUACGUUUCGGCUUGGAGUGCAGCCCUUUAAUCCCAGCACCUAGGAGCGGAGGCAGGAGAAUUGGAGUUGGAGGCCGGCCUGCUGUGCAGAGUGAGUUCCAGGACAGCCAGGGUUAUGUAAUAGCCAGACCCUGCCUCACUGUGCCUGACAUUGCAUCUCACCACGUAGCGAGAGGUCUGUCCCUCAUGCACAGUGAGGGAAGAGCCUAAACUUGGUUGGAGAACCCUGAAUGUUUUCAUAAGAGGUAAAGCGCUGGUUUCAGCCAUCAGGCAGGCCCCACUGAAUAUGCCUGAAGGUGAAGGGCACAGCCUGCCCUGUAUCAAAGCAUACUUUUUUAUUACAGUAGACUUGGACGAUGACAGAACGUUGCUUAUGGACAGUCAAGCUUGACUUACAGGGUGCCUACUGGAGAGCUAGUUUGCCCCAGAUAGAUCAAAGGCCCCACCAGCCACUCUUUAGACCUCAUAGCUGCUGCUUCAGAAGGUGGAGCCACACACGUGCUUAAAAUAAAACCACCG